rnacentral:tRNA from 2 species
GGAGGGAUGGCAGAGCGGUUGAAUGCACCGGUCUUGAAAACCGGCGAAGGUGAGAGCCUUCCCAGGGUUCGAAUCCCUGUCCCUCCG